AGUGAACGCUGGCGGUAGGCCUAACACAUGCAAGUCGAACGGCAGCACAGUAAGGGCUUGCUCUUACGGGUGGCGAGUGGCGGACGGGUGAGGAAUACAUCGGAAUCUACUUUUUCGUGGGGGAUAACGUAGGGAAACUUACGCUAAUACCGCAUACGACCUACGGGUGAAAGCAGGGGAUCUUCGGACCUUGCGCGAUUGAAUGAGCCGAUGUCGGAUUAGCUAGUUGGCGGGGUAAAGGCCCACCAAGGCGACGAUCCGUAGCUGGUCUGAGAGGAUGAUCAGCCACACUGGAACUGAGGCACGGUCCAGGCUCCUACGGGAGGCAGCAGUGGGAAAUAUUGGACAAUGGGCGCAAGCCUGAUCCAGCCAUACCGCGUGGGUGAAGAAGGCCUUCGGGUUGUAAAGCCCUUUUGUUGGGAAAGAAAAGCAGCAGGUUAAUACCCCGCUGUUCUGACGGUACCCAAAGAAUAAGCACCGGCUAACUUCGU
rnacentral:rRNA from 1 species